rnacentral:rRNA from 1 species
GAGUGCGGCAUCUAUAAUGCAGUCGAGCGGACCGACGGGAGCUUGCUCCCUUAGGUCAGCGGCGGACGGGUGAGUAACACGUGGGUAACCUGCCUGUAAGACUGGGAUAACUCCGGGAAACCGGGGCUAAUACCGGAUGCUUGAUUGAACCGCAUGGUUCAAUCAUAAAAGGUGGCUUUCAGCUACCACUUACAGAUGGACCCGCGGCGCAUUAGCUAGUUGGUGAGGUAACGGCUCACCAAGGCGACGAUGCGUAGCCGACCUGAGAGGGUGAUCGGCCACACUGGGACUGAGACACGGCCCAGACUCCUACGGGAGGCAGCAGUAGGGAAUCUUCCGCAAUGGACGAAAGUCUGACGGAGCAACGCCGCGUGAGUGAUGAAGGUUUUCGGAUCGUAAAACUCUGUUGUUAGGGAAGAACAAGUACCGUUCGAAUAGGGCGGUACCUUGACGGUACCUAACCAGAAAGCCACGGCUAACUACGUGCCAGCAGCCGCGGUAAUACGUAGGUGGCAAGCGUUGUCCGGAAUUAUUGGGCGUAAAGCGCGCGCAGGCGGUUUCUUAAGUCUGAUGUGAAAGCCCCCGGCUCAACCGGGGAGGGUCAUUGGAAACUGGGGAACUUGAGUGCAGAAGAGGAGAGUGGAAUUCCACGUGUAGCGGUGAAAUGCGUAGAGAUGUGGAGGAACACCAGUGGCGAAGGCGACUCUCUGGUCUGUAACUGACGCUGAGGCGCGAAAGCGUGGGGAGCGAACAGGAUUAGAUACCCUGGUAGUCACGCGUAAACGAUGAGUGCUAAGUGUUAGAAGGGUUUCCGCCCUUAGUGCUGCAGCAACGCAUAGCACUCCGCUGGGAGUACGUCGCAGACUGAACUCAAAGAUGACGGGGUCCGCCCAAGGCGGUGAGCCAUGUGUUAUCGAGCACCGGAGACCUACCAGGUCUUUUG